GGGUUGUGAGGUUAAGCGACUAAGCGUACACGGUGGAUGCCCUGGCAGUCAGAGGCGAUGAAGGGCGUGCUAAUCUGCGAUAAGCGCCGGUAAGGUGAUAUGAACCGUUAUAACCGGCGAUACCCGAAUGGGGAAACCCAGUGUGACUCGUCACACUAUCAUUAACUGAAUCCAUAGGUUAAUGAGGCGAACCGGGGGAACUGAAACAUCUAAGUACCCCGAGGAAAAGAAAUCAACCGAGAUUCCCCCAGUAGCGGCGAGCGAACGGGGAGGAGCCCAGAGCCUGAAUCAGCAUGUGUGUUAGUGGAAGCGUCUGGAAAGGCGCGCGAUACAGGGUGACAGCCCCGUACACAAAAGCGCAUGUGCUGUGAGCUCGAUGAGUAGGGCGGGACACGUGGUAUCCUGUCUGAAUAUGGGGGGACCAUCCUCCAAGGCUAAAUACUCCUGACUGACCGAUAGUGAACCAGUACCGUGAGGGAAAGGCGAAAAGAACCCCGGCGAGGGGAGUGAAAAAGAACCUGAAACCGUGUACGUACAAGCAGUGGGAGCACCCUUUGGGUGUGACUGCGUACCUUUUGUAUAAUGGGUCAGCGACUUAUAUUCUGUA
rnacentral:rRNA from 2 species